rnacentral:lncRNA from 1 species
AAUUCCCCAAAAACAAGUAAUUGGUGCACGUGUAAGUCAAAGGUGGAAAACCAAUUGUCUAGAAAAAUUUUACUAUCAAACAAGUCAAAAGUGAGAAAUGAAAUUUGUUUUCCAUUUUCCAUGGAAAAUUUUGCGAUAUCAAACAUGGCCUAAGUGUAUUUAUUUUUUAUUUUUUUAUACUUAUAACAAGAAAUUUCAAUAAUUAAUUGUUUGGUAGGGAUUUUGAUCAUUGAUUUUUUUAUCAUUUGAGAUAAAGUGGGUCCCACCUGUUAGAAUAAUUCAAAAAUAACGAUUGAAAUAACGAUAAAAAAAUUGAUGUUAAUUGAAUUAAAAUCCCUACCAAACAUGCUCAAAAUUAUAAACAUGACUUGAGUAAUAUCUAACACUUAAUUCAAGCCUGUCAAUCAAUCGUUACAUAUACAACUACUAUUACUAUAGGCGAUAGAUGCUAAAAUAGGUUUCCCGUUUCCUUAACAAUUAAGUGACUUUUCAUUUUAUCAAUUCAAGCAGUCAUUUUCGAGAAUUCAUUUAAGGAUGUUCACAAUAUAAUUUUAGAUUCUAUUUUUCAAUGAAUAAUGUUAUUUACAGUCGUCCAUUAUUACAGUCGUCCUACGUGACAUACAUGUGGUGGUAUCAAAUCACUAACCACCACAUAUACACGACAUAGGACGACUACGACAGUAAACGAUUGCAAAUAGCAUUACUCUUUUUCAAAUGAUUGUACGAUAUAGCAUGGAAAUUUAUUAUGCAAUUGAUUGCUUGAAAAUAUGCAUCCUAACUUUUUAAAGUUCGAAGAAAUUUGCUUUCUUGGCUUCGAUAAUACAACCAGAAUUGAUUCAAUGGUGUAUGCAAUGUAGUUUUUGGUUCUAUUUUUCAAAGUGAUGGUACGAUCAAGCAUGGCAUUCACUGUGCAAUUGAUUGCUUGAAAUAUGAGUUCCAAGAAAUUUCCAUUCUUAGCUUAUUGGAGCACAAUUCACUAUGCACUCAACUUGAAAGGCAAAAAGUAGAUGAAACAAGAUUCAAAAAAGGGGAAAAGAAUUCAUGAUUCCAUGAAUUUAAUGCUGCACGUAAUUUAAAGAGUGUGAUUGUGUCAAGUUGCAAGAAAUUUGCUUUCUUGGCUUCAGAAUUAAUUCAAGUGUUUGCAAAAUAAUGGUACGAUCAAGCAUGGGCAAACACUGUGCAAUUGAUUGCUUGAAGAGUUCCAAGAAAUCUUCUUUCUUAGCUUAUUGGAGCACAAUUCACUAUGCACUCAACUUGAAAGGCCAAAAGUAAUAAGAUUAAAAAUAAUAAUAAUAAAAAAAAAUCAUGAUUGCAUGAAUUUAAUGCUGCACAUAAUUUAAGAGAGUGUGAUUGUGUCAAGUUGCAAAAAUCUUUCGUAUCGUUGCCUCAGAAUAUGUGAUUUUCUUCUUCUCUCAUUUUAGUAAAUUGUAUUUUUUUUUCUUUUUUGUGUCUAAUAAUUAAGAAAACAUAUUUAUUGAUUGUUUUUAUUCAUUUGGCGUAAGAUUAUUUUUGUUUGUGACAGUUGAAAACAAUUGCGGAAUUGAUUGUUGAGUUGGACCAGUGUCCGAAAAUGUAAAAUUUGAGUUUUACCAACUUAAGCUAAAUGAUUAUGUAACUUGUAUGAAUUAGGUUUGCGUGAAAACUCUUCAAACUAUUACUUAAUCUUUUUGCCAAAACAUGUACAUGAAACAAUUAAUUUUUAUCCCAUAUUCAUUUUAUGGAUCAUAUUUUUGUUUUCUUGUAUGAUUAUUUAGGUAAUGAAAUAGUAGACUAUAAUGCCACGAAACAUAUAAUGUCUGAAUAAGUACUCUGUAAUUUAUUCUAUGAAAUGAUGGGACUCGAAGAUGCCAAAUGCUAGACUAAAUUAAAUAGAAAAAAAUCAUUUGAAAAUAAAUCAUGUGACUCUACUGUUAGUACACAGGUUAUUAGGGUUUUAUUGUAAAUUUUAGGAAGGGUACGGCAAUACUGUAAUAUUUAAAUCCUUUCCACAUUAUAGUUUACACUUUUUGUCCAAUAUUCUUCUUGAUUUUUUAUUUUAUUUUUUUCAUUUUUUAUUGCUUUCAAAACUUGAAGUGAUCCAUACUUAUCGUUAGGCUACCUUUCCAAUAACAUAUCAUCAAAUGUGCAUUUGAAUAAUUAUUUUAACAUGCUUGCGAUACGUUUUAAGCCGUAUUUUUUUUAUUUGUGAAUAAAACAUACUAUUUGUAAUUUUCUUAGUUUUUAUGGGGAAUAUGUAACAGUUAAUUUUUUAUGUAACUAUAUAUUAGGCUAGUCUAGAGCAUGCCUUGUAGCUAUAGGAUAUUUCCAUUGAUUCAAAAUAAAGGAUUCUUCGAGUUCUACGAAAAUUAUG